CUCUCGUUUUCUCUUUGGUUAUCUAGCUGUAUGAGUGUACAUGACAUUAUAAAGCUAGGUUACCAAAGACAAAAACAGA